rnacentral:rRNA from 1 species
ACGCUCGACACCUACGUGAGGCAGCAGUCGGGAAUAUUGCGCAAUGGAGGAAACUCUGACGCAGUGACGCCGCGUGCAGGAAGAAGGUUUUCGGAUUGUAAACUGCUUUAGACAGGGAAGAACAAAUGACAGUACCUGUAGAAUAAGCUCCGGCUAACUACGUGCCAACAGCCGCGGUAAUCUGAGCGGGCUGGCAAGGC